UGCUCGAUGCCUUAGUUUCCAUGAUUCAAUUUUCGUUUCCCGUUUGUAACUUGAUCACUGUUUCCGCAGGGGCAGACAUGUCCAAUCGCUGUUGUUUGGAGUUUGUCGGAAAUUCCGAAAAAGGCUUAUAUUCUGGGGAGGGAGUACUAUUUCGUCCAGAAAGUUUAUUAUGAUGUAUACGAGUCGUCUUACCAGCCAUGUUCAUCGACAGCCAAUGGUUAUCCUCCACAAGGCUUAUGAUAUUACUGGUUAUACCAGAUACAAUUUGGUGCCAUGGGUUAUUUGCUAACGCCCGACAAGUGACAUUUGUCAAUUCUACCCGAUGUGGAGUUCAAGAGAGAAGGUUACACGUCAUUAAUGGAGCUCACCCAUGUACAGCAUAUCCUUGUCAUGGCAAUGACCUCCAUUCCCUGUUGACUAGUAAUUAUUGCCUGGCUCAUUCGACUUGGGGUCUACCCAACUGCACAUGGGCAAUGUUGCACCUUACUCGGCCACUUGUGCUAGUGGAAACAAAGAUUUCAGGAUGGGCAAUGUUGGUUUGUCCUUGUUCUUGAAGGAGUACCUCUCCAUGUCUUUCACAACCCUCCACUUUGCCAUCAAGACACCAAUUCGAGCACAGUUCCUUUGGAUGAAAAUUUUGUUAGCAAGGUUGUUGAUUUUGGCCUUGCACAUGCUUCAGGAACUGGUGAUAAGUUUGAAGCCAUGAACACAGAUAUAUGAGGAACUGCAGGGUACAUGGAUCCUGAAUAUGUGGUAACCCAGGAGCUGAUGGAGAAGAGUGACAUAUACAGCUACGACAUAGUGCUGCAUAUGUGGACACCAUCAUCCUCUCUCGACAAAAAUAUUGCGAACCGGG